rnacentral:rRNA from 1 species
GACGAACCGAGCGAACGUUGUUCGGAAUAACUGGGCUUAAAGGGCGCGUAGGCGGGCUGUCAAGUCUGGGGUGAAAUGCCGCGGCUCAACCGUGGAACUGCCUCAGAUACUGACGGCCUCGAGGGAGGUAGGGGCGAGCGGAACUAAUGGUGGAGCGGUGAAAUGCGUUGAUAUCAUUAGGAACUCCGGUGGCGAAGGCGGCUCGCUGGAUCUCUUCUGACGCUGAGGCGCGAAGCUAGGGGAGCAAACGGG